rnacentral:lncRNA from 1 species
CUGUAUAGUACUUCCCAUCUGAACAGAAUCUGGACCCGUCAACAAACACAGGUUCAUCAGAUUCACUUGCUUCCUUUCUGAAAAGAGAAAGAAAAUUCUCAACUUCUGCUAAACAUUUAUGGGGUUUACCCUCAUAUUGCAUCAGUUGUGGAAGUACAUACUUUGCCUUAUGUUCUACCUUAAUUUGCUUUGGUGAUAGAGCUAUUAACCAUUGUGAAAAUCUCUGAUGUGACACACCUGGAAUUCCUUUUUCAAGAAGUAAUUUCAAAGGUGUGUGUGGUGUUUGCAGAAUUAUGUCCUUGAAU